AUAAAUCAUUUUUCUGAGGAUCCGGCAAGAUGGCAGAGGUAGAGCAGAAGAAGAAGCGGACCUUCCGCAAGUUCACCUACCGCGGCGUGGACCUCGAGCAGCUGCUGGACACGUCCUACGAGCAGCUAACACAGCUGAACAGUGCGCGCCAGCGGCUGCGGCUGAAACCAGGACUGCGGCGGAAGCACCGUUCGCUGCUGAAACGCCUGCGCAAGGCCAAGAAGGAGGGACCGCCCAUGGAGAAGCCGGAAGUGGUGAAGACUCACCUGCGGGUCAUGAUCAUCCUGCCCGAGAUGGUGGGCAGCAUGGUGGGCGUCUACAACGGACCUUCAACCAGGUGGAGAUCAAGCCGGAGAUGAUCAGCCACUACCUGGGGGCGAGUUCUCCAUCACCUACAAGCCCGUGAAGCACAGCUGGCCCGGCUUCAGGGCCACCCACUCCUCCUGCUUCACCCCCUCAAGUAGUGGCUCAGCUAAUAAACGCACACGUCUCAAAAAUAAAUAAAAUAAAUAAAUA